rnacentral:tRNA from 1 species
ACUUAUAAAGGUUCUAAUCCUUUUCUUUUUA